rnacentral:rRNA from 1 species
AUUGAACGCUGGCGGCAGGCCUAACACAUGCAAGUCGAACGAGUGGCGGACGGGUGAGUAAUGUCUGGGAAACUGCCUGAUGGAGGGGGAUCACUACUGGAAACGGUAGCUAAUACCGCAUACCAUCAGAUGUGCCCAGAUGGGAUUAGCUAUUUGGUGGGGUAACGGCUCACCAAGGCGACGCUCCCUAGCUGGUCUGAGAGGAUGACCAGCCACACGGGAACUGAGACACGGUCCAGACUCCUACGGGAGGAAGAAGUGGGGAAUAGGGCACAAUGGGCGCAAGCCUGAUGCAGCCAUGCCGCGUGUAUGAAGAAGGCCUUCGGGUUGUAAAGUACUUUCAGCGGGGAGGCGGUACCCGCAGAAGAAGCACCGGCUAACUACGUGCCAGCAGCCGCGGUAAUAC